rnacentral:tmRNA from 1 species
GGGGCUGAUCGGUUUCGACGUUGUGGACCGAGAGGCGAAUCAUGCGACCGGAGUUGCUCAGACUCCUGAAACGGGGCACCAAAAGACACGGCAGUACUCGUGUCGCUCUCGCUGCCUAACACCUAGGUUGUAGAGAGUCAUAGGGACCAGCAAUGGCUCCCGGGGCCAGAUCACUGCAGCCCGGCAACAGAAGCAGUGGUGGACGGCAGGGAAAGACCGCUGACGGCGAGAAAGACCGCUGACACCAGAGAAAGAUCUGGCGGCGUGGCCCUCGUGGCCCACCUGACCCGGCAGGGUGGCGACCGCAAGCCACAUACGCGGGAAUGGUCGUAGCGUGAACGUCUCUCCCAUGGCGGACGGGGGUUCGAUUCCCCCCAGCUCCACGU